UACGUAGGGUGCGAGCGUUGUUCGGAUUCAUUGGGCGUAAAGGGUGCGUAGGUGGCGCUGUAAGUCGGGUGUGAAAUUUCGGAGCUUAACUCCGAAACUGCAUUCGAUACUGCGGUGCUUGAGGACUGGAGAGGAGACUGGAAUUCAUGGUGUAGCAGUGAAAUGCGUAGAGAUCAUGAGGAAGACCAGUGGCGAAGGCGGGUCUCUGGACAGUUCCUGACACUGAGGCGCGAAAGCUAGGGGAGCGAACAGG
rnacentral:rRNA from 1 species